rnacentral:rRNA from 1 species
AUCUAAUAGAUUCUGAAAGGAAAACCUUUAUAAUAAAAACUGAAAAAGUUUUUAUUGAAUAAAAUAACUUGAUGAACUGAAUCAUCUAAAUAAUCAAAGGAAAAGACAAAUUGUUAGUAGUGGCGAACGAACACAAUUAACUUAUUUUUAAAUAGGUUGUAUUUAUUGGACUUAUAAUUUAAAUUUAUUUUUAAUACAAAAAAAAAGUAGUAAUAUAAAACAUUAAAGAUAUAGAAAUAUAAGUUUAAUGUCAAUUAUCUGUUAUAGUCAAAGAAAAUUAUUAGAGUUUAAAAUAAAUACAGCCAUAAAGAUUAACUUCUAAGGAAGUUACAUCUUUUAAAUAAAUAAAAAAGUAAAAAUUAUUUUUAGAGCGAUAGUGUAGAGUACUGUGAAGGAAAGUUGAAAAGAACAAAAAAUACCCAAAAGGGUUACCCGAAAAACUUUAAUUCUUAAUUGAAAAGAAGGUUAGGGAAGAGUGAAAAAGAUCAUGAAAUCUACUUUCUAUUAUCAGUUUAAAUUUUAUCUAAUAAAAAAGUAAUUAAAUAAAAAUAAUACCUUAAUAGGUAUUAUUUUGUUUAAUUAAUUAGAAAUAAAAAAUAAAUUACCUUUUGUAUUAGGGGUAUAACAGCGACUUAUGUGUAUAUACAUGUGGAUAUAUUAUCUAGCAUAAAGAAAAAAGAAAUCACUACUUAUGUGAUAUAAAUAGUAUAUAAACAUAGACUCGAAAGAUAGUGAUCUAAUCAUGAUCAAAUACUUUAUCUUUAAUUCAUAGAUAUUACAUCUCAAAUAGAUGUGAAAAAAAAAGAAUUAUACUACAUUCUGAAAAGAAUCUAGUAAAAAGAGAAGUGAUUGAACUCGUCAUUGUUGCAGAAAUGUGAGAAGAAUUGUGAUUAGCAGAGAAAUUCUAAUCGGACUAUCAAAUAGCUAGCUUUUUGAGAAAACUAUAUAAGUAGUGAUCAUUAAAAAUAAUCUAAAUAAGUAAAGUACUUAGAAUUUAUAUAAAUAACCCUUUUAGGGUUAUUCAUAAAAAACUAAAAUCCCGAUAAAUAUUUAGUCACAAGUAUAUAUAUUUGAAAUUUAAUGAAUUCAGACUUAUGGCGCUAAGGUCAUAAGUCGAAAGGAAGACAAUCCUACUCAAUAAUAUUUAAGGGAUCUAAAAAAAACAAAUAGAAUACUUAAAGGUAUUUAUUAUAGUUAAAGAUAUAAGUGAACAUAAAAGAGUAAUUUUAGUUAGUUAUUCAUAAUGUAGGCUUGGAAACAGCCAUCAUAAAAAUUUUAAAAUUUAAAAUAGAAAACGUAAUAGUUCAAUGAAUGAUAUACAAAAAACUAAAAUUACAUUAAAAAUGUAUAGAUUCUUAAUACCACCCCCUUUUUAGGGGGAGUAAUAUCUAGCCCUCAAAUUGAAAUAUUAGAUUACUCUUUUAGUUUUAAAAAGAAGUAAAUAAUAAUAUUAGUAUCAAAAACGUUCUAUUCUCAGUAAAGAAAAUAUGAGAAUAUUUUUGGAGAGAAUAGAAGUGAGAAUGCUGACUUGAGUAACGUAAUAACAGUAAAAUCUGUAAAGCUAGUCCAAGGUUUUUAAAGUAAAUUAAAAUACUUUAAUAUUAGUUUAAAGAAAAUCCAUAGGAUUUAAAAGAAAACUUAAAGGCACCUAAUAUAAACUCCGAAAGGAGUUAUAGAUGGAUAAAACAUUAAAAAAAAAACAAGAAAAGAAAUGUUUAUACCUUACCAAAACCGACACUGGUGGACAUACAACAUUUCUCUCUUUUGAGAAGUGUUUGAAAGCUAUUGAGAGAAUCUUUUUUAAGGAACUCGGCAAAAUCGGCCUAGGACUGUUUACCAAACACUUAAGACCUUGCCAAGCCAAAAAGGCAUAGUAUAAGGUCUGACCCUUGCCCAGUGUCAAUAAGAGAAAUAUUUUUUCUUAAAUAAUUCUUAAAAAGAAUUAAUAGAAAGAAUAAUAAUCCUUGAUAAACGGCUGCUCUAAUUAUUGAGAGUACUAAGGUAGCAAUUACUUGUCAUUUAAUUGAUGACGCGCAUGAAUAGGGGAACUAUAGGCCAACUGUCUCAAAAAAGAACUCAGUGAAAUAAUAAUAGGAGUGAAGAUACUCCUUAUGCUCAGUUAGACAAUGAGACCCCAUGACGUUUGACUAUAAACAAAUAUCUACUUCUGAUUAACCUUUUUGGUUUUUCUUUUUAUUUUGUAUUUGUUUGGUAGUUUCCUUGGGGAAAGGGCCUCCUAAAAAGUAAUGGAGGCAUUCAAAAGCAUAUAUACAUACCUCUACCCUUCCCUCUAAAGGGAGGGUAAUAAAGGUAAAAAAAAGUGUAAGAAUUUCAUUAAAUUUUAUAUCCUAUAAAAAAUAAUAUGAAAAGAUUAUUUGGAUAAUAUAUAAUUAUAUGCUUAACUAUUAAGACUCACAAGUCUAAUAGUGGUAUUAUCUUUUUUCUUUCUAAUAGAAUUUAUAAAAAAAAAAAGAUUCAAGCCAGAUCUAAUGACCAGAUAAAAAUCUAUAUCUAGGGCCAAUCGCCUUUUAUAUUAAAAGAUAUUAUCGUUCAAUGAAUAAAAAUGAUUCUGGGGAUUUAAAAAGAAUAAAAUAUUUUAUUUUAUUCUAAGUUCCAACAUAUUGUAAAAUAUGUUUAAAAUUUGGGUGAAUUGCAAGAAAAACCUAAUCAAUUAACAUCUUUGAAAGGUUAAUUUGCAGCGAAACUUAUUUUGACAAAAUAAAAAAAAAAUAAGAACGUUCAACGACUAGGAAAUGAGUAUUGUCAACAAUAAUUUUCCCACGAGCGCCCAACAACCUAGCUAAAUUCACUCUUUUUUAGAGUCUAUUUAGAAGGUUGAAGACAUAGUCUGAGCCAAUAUGAGAAUAUUGGAAAUAAUAGAUAAAGAGCUAUUAUGAUAACAUAUCUGAACAGACUAAUUUCUUCUUAAAGUUCUUAUUAAUGAAGAAGCAUAGCACCUCGAUGUUGAAUCCACAUGUCCCAGUCAAGCAGAAAUGACUAAAGGUACGAUUGUUCAUCGUUUAAAAUGUGACGUGAUUUGAGUUAAUCCCGGCGUAAGCCAGGGAGGUUCUUAUCUGCUGAGCAAAAGAAUAAAAUAUUAGAGGAAUCCAAUAGUACGAGAGGAUCUUGGAUUAGACACCUAUGAUGAAACUUAAUGUUUAGUUAUGUAUAAAUAAACUAUUAUAAUGUAUAGUUUUUACUGAGUAGUAUUGAAAGAAUAUAAAUACGAAACAGACUCUAAAAUAUUUAUUUAAAUUACCCUUGAGACUAAGGGGUUAAUAGGUUCACACUAUAUAAACAUUCUUUAAAUAAAGAAUCAGUGAGGAAUACUAAUUAUUUUUCUUUAUCUAAAU